AUUGAACGCUGGCGGCAGGCCUAACACAUGCAAGUCGAGCGAGCGGCGGACGGGUGAGUAAUGUCUGGGAAACUGCCUGAUGGAGGGGGAUAACUACUGGAGACGGUAGCUCAUACCGCGUCCCAACAGGUGUGACCCGAGGGGAUUAGCUAGUAGGUGGGGUAACGGCUCACCUAGGCGACGAUCCCUAGCUGGUCUGAGAGGAUGACCAGCCAAACUGGAACUGAGACACGGUCCAGACUCCUACGGGAGGCAGCAGUGGGGAAUAUUGGACAAUGGGCGAAACCCUGAUGCAGCCAUGCCGCGUGUGUGAAGAAGGCCUUCGGGUUGUAAAGCACUUUCAGCGGGGAGGCGUUACCCGCAGAAGAAGCACCGGCUAACUCCGUGCCAGCAGCCGCGGUAAUAC
rnacentral:rRNA from 1 species